CUCGCUUCAGCAGGAGAUAUACUAAAAUUGGAACAAUACAGAGAAGAUUAGCAUGACCCUUGCACAAGGAUGAUGUGCAAAUUCAUGAAGUGUACAAUAUUUCU
ensembl:snRNA U6 U6 spliceosomal RNA